rnacentral:rRNA from 1 species
CUCCCGCCGGCGACCGGCGCACGGGUGAGUAACACGUAUGAAACCUGCCCGUAGCAGGGGGAUAAGCGGAAGAAAUUCCGUCUAAUACCGCGUAACAACCCGAGGAGGCAUCUCCUCGGGUUUAAAGGAAGCGAUUCCGGCUACGGAUGGUCAUGCGUCGCAUUAGCUAGUUGGCGGGGUAACGGCCCACCAAGGCGAUGAUGCGUAGGGGUUCUGAGAGGAAGGUCCCCCACAUUGGUACUGAGACACGGACCAGACUCCUACGGAAGGCAGCAG